rnacentral:lncRNA from 1 species
GGGCCACCGGAGGCUUAAUUAUGUUUUCUUAACUUACAAAAACCUUUGGCCUCGGAAAAUCCCCGCACUCCCCCAAAGUAAUGAAGAUAUUUGGAAGGCCACCCACCAACACCAGAGGUUUUUCCCAGUCUGGUCAGCCGUCCAGAUGGACUGAGCCACAGAGACCUGGAAGCCUAUGGGGACUCCAUCCAAUAAAGGCAAAUAAAGAGAGCCUGAAAGUAUAGCUUGGCACCUACGCAGCAAGCCACUCCUGUCUACAGUGCUCAUGAACCUUCCAGAAUCAUGGAGAAGACCUGCCGUGCAUGGCCCUUAUUGCAAGUUUGCUUCUGCCACAUCUGGGUCUCCCGAGGUCGGAGAGGAUCGUCUUUAAUAUUCCUUGGUAGAUUCCAGGAGCAGCCCCCAUCCAUGGUUUGGAGGACUCGACCCUAUGGAGCGCCCUGGCCUGGAGGUGUGCAGGUUAGAAGGAACCCCAGCUGUGGCACCUCACUAUCCUUCUCUUUCCCGACCCGUUCAAAAAUAAAAAAAUAAACCCCAAU